rnacentral:rRNA from 1 species
GACGAACGCUGGCGGCGUGCUUAACACAUGCAAGUCGAACGGAAAGGCCUGCUUUCCCUUGUGGAUUGCGGGUACUCGAGUGGCGAACGGGUGAGUAACACGUGAGUGAUCUGCCCCCAACUUGGGUAUAAGCCUGGGAAACUGGGUCUAAUUCCCGAUAGGACUGCAGGGUGGUGCCUGUGGUGGAAAACGAUUUUCUAGUGGUUGGGGAUGAGCUCGCGGCCUAUCAGCUUGUUGGUGGGGUAAUGGCCUACCAAGGCGGCGACGGGUAGCCGGCCUGAGAGGGUGGUCGGCCACAGUGGGACUGAGAUACGGCCCAGACUCCUACGGGAGGCAGCAGUGGGGAAUAUUGCACAAUGGGCGGAAGCCUGAUGCAGCGACGCCGCGUGGGGGAUGACGGCCUUCGGGUUGUAAACUCCUUUCGACCGCGAGGAAGCCACCUGGUUGGAAGGGUGGUGACGGUAGUGGUAGAAGAAGCACCGGCUAACUACGUG